rnacentral:lncRNA from 1 species
CUUUACUACUGCUGCGGAAAAGAGGACAACACUCCACAUUUCUGGCAUUGUAAAUGACAACACCGCAACUGAAAGCAAGCUUGAAUUUCUGGGAGUAGCAUUAGGAUACAGGACCCCUGCUGAGCUCACCAGUUCCUUGCUCUACACAGCUGCUUUCUCAGCUGGGGUUUUGAAAUAAGCACUGUGAGAAAAGACAGAAAUGACCAUGAUGCAUCUUUCUCACUAUGAGAAAAAGCCUAGUCCAAAGACGUUUACAUCCUGGAAGAGAACUUGCUGGCUUUUCACCUCAGCAUGUAUGGGCCAAACUAAUAUAACAAGAAGUCUUGAGAGGAGUCAGCGGCCAAGCUCCAUGUCUUGCAGCCAAACAAUGCUGUGGGAUGGAAGGUGGGAUGUCAUGUGUCUGGUUUACAGCACUCACGUAUCAGUUGGCAGUUAACGGAAGUGCUACUGAUUGGUGAUAUGCCUACUCCCCCUUCACCUUCGAUCAUGAUUGUAAACUUCGUGAGGACAUCACCAAAGGCUGACAUUGGCAACAUGCUUCCUGUACAAUCUGCAGAACAACGAUGGAACAAAAUAAACACCUUUUCUUUAUAAAUUACCCGGCUUCAUGUAUUCCUUCAUAACAAUGCAAAGCAGCCUAAUACAAAUUGUCAGUGAGUAGGCAGAUUUUCAGAAUGUAUGGCUAAUUGGAAUUUCCAUGGUCCUAUAUGAGAAGAGAUUUGAAGUAAUUCCAUAGAAUGUUAUGAGCGCCCUGGGAGAAGAAAAAGGGUGAUUUUUCAGAAGGAAAAGAGUGUAAGAAAAACAUGAAAUUCAAUUUUCCAAUGACAGUUCUG